rnacentral:rRNA from 1 species
CAGCCGCCGCGGGAAAACGAGGGGGGCAAGCGUUGUUCGGAAUUAUUGGGCGUAAAGGGCGCGUAGGCGGCGAUCAAAGUCAGGCGUGAAAUUCCUGGGCUCAACCUGGGGGCUGCGCUUGAUACUUGGUUGCUUGAGUGGGGAAGAGGGUCGUGGAAUUCCCAGUGUAGAGGUGAAAUUCGUAGAUAUUCGGAAGAACACCAGUGGCGAAGGCGGCUCACUGGCUCAUACUGGACGCUGAGGUGCGAAAGCGUGGGGAGCAAACAGGAUUAGAUACCCCGGUAGUCCCUGUCUCUUAUAC